rnacentral:rRNA from 1 species
AAAGAUGUCACUAGCUGUUGGGGCCUUCGGGCCUUGGUAGCGCAGCUAACGCGUGAAGUUGACCGCCUGGGGAGUACGGUCGCAAGAUUAAAACUCAAAGGAAUUGACGGGGACCCGCACAAGCGGUGGAUGAUGUGGAUUAAUUCGAUGCAACGCGAAAAACCUUACCUACCCUUGACAUGUCUGGAAUUCCGAAGAGAUUUGGAAGUGCUCGCAAGAGAACCGGAACACAGGUGCUGCAUGGCUGUCGUCAGCUCGUGUCGUGAGAUGUUGGGUUAAGUCCCGCAACGAGCGCAACCCUUGUCAUUAGUUGCUACGAAAGGGCACUCUAAUGAGACUGCCGGUGACAAACCGGAGGAAGGUGGGGAUGACGUCAAGUCCUCAUGGCCCUUAUGGGUAGGGCUUCACACGUCAUACAAUGGUCGGGACAGAGGGUCGCCAACCCGCGAGGGGGAGCCAAUCCCAGAAACCCGAUCGUAGUCCGGAUCGCAGUCUGCAACUCGACUGCGUGAAGUCGGAAUCGCUAGUAAUCGCGGAUCAGCAUGUCGCGGUGAAUACGUUCCCGGGUCUUGUACACACCGCCCGUCACACCAUGGGAGUGGGUUUUACCAGAAGUAGUUAGCCUAACCGUAAGGGGGGCGAUUACCACGGUAGGAUUCAUGACUGGGGUGAAGUCGUACGAGGGUAACC